UUCAUUUCCAGUUCUCCAUUUCUAAUUUCUUCUCUUCCUCGUUCGUUCGGAGUUCGAAGGCCGCAGCUCAACUGCUCAAGUACCAACACCAAGUCCAUUUUGCUUAAGCCUUCAGUAAUCAACUUCUUCGUGAACCUGCUGGAGCAUCAUAGCAUACUGUAUUAGUGUUAAUAGGGUCGCGAAGUGAAAUUAAGCAGCUAGGAUUCGAAGUUGGAGGAUCGCUGCUAACCUUCAUAUUGCAAUUAAUCUUCUGGGCAAAUUGAGGCUCUAUUCUUGAAGAGGAGGACUGUGGGAGCACCUUCCUCAAUCUUCGGCAGCUGGAGUUGGACUGUGGAAUUCGUCAAUUCCUACUACAAAUGACUCGGUUGUCGGCGCAGCAGUGGGAAAAGUAGGCAUGUCUACUAGUCAACCUGAGGUUUCUUCCAUGCCAUGUGUGUUUGCCAGUGAUUCAUCCACUCCACUAUUGUCGGGCAGCCCAAUAUUUGUGAGCUGUGACAACACAGGAAAUGAUGCUUGCCCUCUAGAAAGUGGCGGUGGUCCUGUGACUGAGGGAACAGAACAAGUGCCAACCAGGGACACGACUAUUCAACAAGGAGAGGAAAAUGAAGGUGGUGGUCAAUUUCAGGUGCCUAAAAAGAAUAAAACCUCGGAGGCAUGAGAAGACUUCGAUGCAUUUGAUAAAAAUGGCUAGCAUUUUGCCAUUUGUAAACAUUGUGGGAAAAAGCUAUCUUGGGGUAAAACUAAGCAAACCAGCAGUAUGUGAGGCAUCGAGAUAAUUGUCUGGUUAGAAAAACCAAGAUUAGAAAGGCCGAGCAGCAAACAAAACUCAACUUUCAGUGGGCGGAUGACCAUUUUCCAACUGUACCAGCAUUGCACACGGGCAACUUUGAUAUAGAAAACAAUGAGGGAGGCUGCUGCACACUGGAUCUUGAUGCACGAGCAUCCCUUCACAAUCUUGGAGGAAGAGGUAUUCAACCUCAUGAUGAAACAUGGCUUUCCGGAGUGCUAAAAGAUCUCUCGGGGGACAGCUAAAAUGAUCAUACACAAGUGUAUGAACUGGAAAAGAAGAAAUUGAAGAACAUGUGCAGAAAGCAAGCCUGACAACUGAUAUGUGGAAAUAAAAAAACCAGAAGAUUGAAUACAUAGUUGUGACGGGCCAUUGGAUUGAUGCCCAUUAGAAACUUCAGAAGCGGGUAUUAGAUUUGGUUCACAUCCCACCACCUAGACAUGGAGUUGAGAUCUCGGCUGCAGUCUUCAAGUGUGCAAAUGAGUGGGGUAUUGGGCAAAAGAUUCACACAAUUUUAGUGGACAAUGCCUCAAAUAAUGAUGUGCCCAUUCGCCUUCUGAAUGAUGACUUUGGUAGAACAAAGAAGCUAUUGGGUGGAGGCCAAUUGCCAGUCCCCUCUAUGAGUUGUGUCCAUCUUCUGAAGAUUGGGAGAAAGUUGAAAAGGUGUGCUGCAUUUUGGAGAAGUUUUGGACAGCCACACACAUAAUUUCAGGGAGUGAAUAUCCAACCAGCAACUUGUUCUUGGCGGAAUUUCUGAAGGCGAAGAAAUUGUUGGAUGCAUGAAUAAAUGAUGAAGAUUUCAUCCGGGGAAUGAUUGCAAGAAUGAAGCUCAAGUUUGAUAAAUACUUGAUUGAAUGCAAUCUGUUGAUGUCCAUUGCUGCUAUCUUGGAUCCCAUGCAGAGAAUGUGAUCAAUGGAGUUUGCCUUCCCCAAGAUGUACCCGGCUUAUGAAGCACAAGAGAAAAUUAAGAAAGUCCAGAAAGCCAUCUUUGACCUUUUUGAAGAGUAUCGUGAAAUGGCUGCCAUUGCAAGUGCUACAGCAAGUAGUGGAUCAGUUGCUUCAUCUUCUAGCCAGGGUCCACUUUGGCCAUGGGGAGAUUCUUAUUGGGAUGAUUUAGAUGAGUAUUGUGUCGAUAUUGAGACCAAUAUCUGGAUAAGCCUCCGAAUUGCUAGAUUAUCUGGAUAAGCCUCGGCAGCCACUUGGUGGAAAUCCAAUGGAUUUCGACUGCUUGGAUUGGUGGAGGGUCAACCGGAUUGCAUACUUGGCAUUAUCUCAGAUGGCCUCUGAUAUAUUGGUCAUUCCUAUCACUACUGUAGCAUUUGAGGCCACCUUCAAUUCUGGGACUAGGGUGAUUGAUUCCUACUGAGCUUCACUUGAUCUUGAGAUAGUUCAGAUGUUAAUGUGUGCGGGUGACUGGUGUAGAAAUUUACACGGAGUCAAAAAGAAAGUGAAAGAAACAACAACUGUCAAAGAAUAUGAGCUGCCAAAAGUAUGAACUUCGAAACGACAUAGAAUCAGGGUUUGUCGGUGAUCAAGGAUAUAAUCCGAAAGGAAACUGUUGACGUUAUUUUUGCUUGAACUGGGGGCGAAAUUUUGGGAGCGUGAAUUUUGGGGAAAGAGUUGAGCUAGUUAUAGUUUGUUUUUGUUUAAACUCCUCUGUAUUAGUAAACUUCACAUGUAUUUGUAUAAGUUUGGAUAUUCUGACUUGUACUUUAAGUUGAAUCAUUAGAGACUCUAUUGUAUAUAGUAUGGAUUGAUUAUUCGAAAUUAAAUUGCGCAUUUUAGUGUGGUAAA